rnacentral:rRNA from 1 species
GUCCUACGGGACGCAGCAGUGGGGAAUAUUGCACAAUGGGGGGAACCCUGAUGCAGCAACGCCGCGUGGGUGAAGAAGUACUCCGGUAUGUAAAGCCCUGUCAGCAGGGAAGAAAAUGACGGUACCUGACCAAGAAGCCCCGGCUAACUACGUGCCAGCAGCCGCGGUAAUACGUAGGGGGCAAGCGUUAUCCGGAUUUACUGGGUGUAAAGGGGGCGCAGACGGCGAUGCAAGCCAGGAGUGAAAGCCCGGGGCCCAACCCCGAGACUGCUCUUGGAACUGCGUGGCUGGAGUGCAGGAGGGGC